rnacentral:rRNA from 1 species
AUUAGAUACCCUAUUAUUUUUAAUGUAAAAUUGGAGCCUGAGUAUUAUUAGUUAUGGUCUUGAAACUUAAAGAAUUUGGCGGUAUUAUAGUCUAUUUAGAGGAAUCUGUUAUGUAAUCGAUAUUCCGCGUUGAACCUUGCUUGCAUUAUUUUUUGUAUACCGCUGUUUUGUGAAUAUAUUUUUAGAUUAUUUUCUUAAUAUUAAUUAGAUAGUAUUUCAAGUCAAGGUGCAGUGAUUUGUAAGAGUAUUAAUGGAUUACAAUAAAUUUUAUUUAUAAUGGAUUAUUGUUGAAAUUAUUGGUAUGAAGGUGGAUUUAAUUGUAAUUUGAUGAAGAUUGUUUGUGUGAUUUAUAGCUCUAUAAUGUGUACACAUCGCCCG